GUGAAUCAUCGAAUCUUUGAACGCAAAUUGCACUCUCUGGUAUUCCGGAGAGUAUGCCUGUUUGAGGGUCAGUUUCAAUAAAAAUCGGUGUGGUUGCUUCCUUUCGUGGUGCCGCACCGGGUUUGGGUCGUCUUGCCUUCGGUUAGGUGCCCUCGCAUGUUGCCGAGUUUAUUUCGAACGUAUUUAAGUGUU
rnacentral:misc_RNA from 1 species